CGAAGUAGUAGUCUGGUGUGUGGGUGCAGCUGAAGUUUCAGAAGUGUCAGGUGCAAGAGUAGUUGGGGAAGAAUUAGGUGUGGGUGGGGCAGCUGUGGUCUCUGGUGGAGCUGAGGCGGAUGAUGGGUCUAGGGUAGUUGCAGAAGGUGUGGGUGGGGCAGCUGUGGUCUCUGGUGGAGCUGAGGAAGAUGGUGGAGCUGGUGUAGUUGCAGAAGGUGUGGGUGGGGCAGCUGUGGUGUCUUGUGGAGCUGGGGAAUUCACUGGUGCUAAUGUAGCUACAGAAGAGCUUGUGUUAACAUUUUCUCUUGAAGAUAUGGUGGUGGCAUUCUGGGGAAGAAAAGUCACAUUUGGAAGGGUAGUAAUUUUGGUGGAAGCUUAGGCCUACAGCGUUUGUGCAGACAUUUAUAGGACUUUCUAAUGAACGGCUUCUGGUGAGCUAGCAGUCCAGGAUAAUGUGGUAAUUCAAAGUGAGAUUUGGGUGAUUGUGGCUCAUGCCUGUAAUCCCAG
rnacentral:lncRNA from 1 species